CCUCACAUCCCUCUCGCCCCGCACGAAGCAGGCUGAGGCCGGGGGAAAGCGGUUCCCGGUGAGCGUGGCGGUCCCGCUCGCCGCCGGCCCGGAGCCCUCCGCUGCCCGGGGAGCAGCGGCGGCGGCCCCUCGGCGGGAGCGGGCGGCCCAGCCCGGCCAUCGCCCGGGGCCGCGGCAGCUCCCUCGCAGCGGCGCGGUGAAAAGCGCCGGUUUCGUGCUCAAGGAACCUCAGGGCGCUUUCUCUCCUGGUGCACCUGAAUUGCUGUCGCUCUAAUUAGUUUUGCUUUGAAACGGCUCGUCGGGGAGUUCACAGGUGAUACCAAUUUCUGGAAGCAAAGCGAUGCUUAAUUUAGUUCACGUGCAAACUUUGUGGAGUAAUUUCGUGAUGCUGUGGCAACGGGGAGAAAAGGAAGGAAGCGUGUGUAGUUCUAUUCCAUGAUACUGCUUUGUUGUAGUUUAGGUAAGGGUUAGCCCUUUGCUGACAGGUACAAAUUCGGAGCAGAGUUACAGCAUAAGUCUUUCCAACUCGUUAUCCAUAGGUGGUAUUUCAAAUACAGCUGUAGUACUUUGCAGAUCUACCCUGACGGCCUGUUCACAGUCACUCAGUCACUUGUUCCUCUAGUCCAUACUAGAAGCCAGAGCUGUCAUCAAAAUGCCUUCCUGAGGCUUUCCAUCAAGUAAAUGUAAUACAUACCACUUCUUUUCAUCUUGUCUCAUUUUUUGGUACACUUGGAACAACUUUUGAAUGGUGAUGGGGCCAGAAUCUGCUUAAAUUCAGUAGCUGCAUCUAUAAAGAAUAAUAUUGUUCACUUUCCAACUUCAAUGUUGGUUUUCACAGCAGGAAGUAUACAGUGUUUUUAUGACUACACCCAUGUAAGUAUCACACAUUGGCUAUAGAAACACAUGUUAUUUUAGUAAUGCGUUUCUUCAUUUUAUUUCUGCAUUUUGGACAGACUCCAGACUGUGCUGAUUGAUAAGAACACAUCCUUCUCAGUAAUCAGAAUCUACAUUAGAAAAGUCUUAGAUGACAUGCCCAUUCAAGGUAACGCUCGGAUAAUCUCAUUCAUGGUGCCAUCUCAUCUACAUUGAUUAGACCACUUCCAUAAGACGGCAUGGCAUCUCAUGAAAGAUGAAGCCUACAGAACUUGUUCCACGUAUUUUUGAAUUGCAGGAUCCUCCAUUUCCCC